rnacentral:misc_RNA from 1 species
GAGGUAACUUACAGGACUUAAUGGCGACUUAAAACUUAAAGCCUCAGAACGUGUUAAACGGUGCUAACAUGAAGGAAAGGGAUCAAUCCACAUAUAGCAUCUCAUUAUCAUCUUUUCCUUGACUGAGAGCCUCUUCCAACUGCCUUCAUAUUCUGUGAAUCUCUAAAGCAAACAAAAUGCACAAUUGUCUUGCCAUUAGGAUACACUGCAAAGACACUGGUGCCAAUCUUCUUGUUGCAAAGAGAACACAUGCUAUCACUUGUGAUCUUCAAGACUGCUUUUCUUUGACUAUACAGUUCAUCUUUUACCUGUAGAUUUUCACUUUCUCUCAAGCUUUUUAUCACUGAAAAGUUUCGAUACGCUUCACUGGAUUUUCUCAGGAGAGGUCCAAGAAAUGGAAGCAAGUUCUGUAGUUUAGUGUCCCUUGGUAGUAGUUUCAGAGCUUGGGCCCCAUGGAUCCGAUCCCACCUUUUGCUCAAAAGAUCCAGCACCUGAUCUAGCAUAAUAGUAGAAUCUCCUUCCUCGGCAGCAUCUUCUGUAUCUCCAUCGCUCCUACCACUGUCAGUGCCACUUGGACUGAAUCGAGUGUCCUCAGCGCCCUCAAUUUCAGCAAUUUUCUUGAAGCGGCCUCCUUUUACCUUUGCUGGAGUUCCUGAACCAACUUUUGGAAUCCCAGGGCUCUGAGAUGAUACCAGAUUAGUAAUUUUCUUCUCAAAAUUUUUUGUUGUCUUCAUGGGAUUGAGAUAGAUUUGCAGUAGAGUCAGGUAAAUGUUUCCAUAAGAUUUUGCGGAAU